CAGAGGUCCCAAGCGUUGUUCGGAUUCAUUGGGCGUAAAGGGUGCGUAGGUGGCAUGGUAAGUCGGGUGUGAAAUCCCGGGGCUCAACCCCGGAACUGCACUUGAUACUGCCGUGCUCGAGUACUGGAAAGGAGACUGGAAUUUACGGUGUAGCAGUGAAAUGCGUAGAUAUCGUAAGGAAGACCGGUGGCGAAGGCUAGUCUCUGGACAGUUACUGACACUGAGGCACGAAGGCCAGGGGAGCAAACGGGAUUAGAUACCCCGGUAGUCCUGGCAGUAAACGGUGCGCGUUUGGUGUGGGAGGAUUCGACCCCUUCCGUGCCGGAGCUAACGCGUUAAACGCGCCGCCUGGGGAAUACGAUCGCAAGAUUA
rnacentral:rRNA from 1 species